GGGAGCAAAGAGUGUGUGAGGGCUGCUGGAGAUUUACAAUCUGCCUUCACGCUUUUGGGACCUAGGAAAAGAAGAGUUCCAACCAUGGACUGCAACUGAAAAGAAGUCUGUCUUAUGUGUGUGUGUUUUUGCAGAAGUUGAGGCUUUUUCCUCUGUUGCUUGCCGAAGUGUAAGCGGUGCCUUUAUCUCACGUUGAGGGAGGAUAUCUAAAAUUAGAAAACUGGCCUGAAGUGGAAAUUGGAAGAAUCUGGAAAUUUGGCAGCAUUCCUUUCCAGAGUGAUAUUUCUGCUGUCAUGAUAUAAUAAAGCUACCCUGGCCAGACUGGAAAAAUUACAGGCAUAUACUUCUGUGGAUGUCAUUAAACCGAGGGGAAUGCAGAUUAAUGAUUUUAAGGAGCAGACACUGAAGGCACACAGAGACACCUAAAUAAUUUCUCCACAGUUGAACGUAGAGAUCUCCAUGGUAACUCAAACUCCCAGACUCUUCUCACCAGCCUGCAAGAAGCAGUUUUCAACAGCUCAGAGGUCUUGCGACCAGAGCGUGGAUCGCACUUCUUGCAAACCUCAUCAUAUUGAGGUGGGGUUAAGAUGAGCAUAACCAGUGACGAAGUGAAUUUCUUGGUGUAUCGCUAUCUCCAGGAAUCAGGUUUCUCCCAUUCUGCCUUUACAUUUGGAAUAGAGAGUCAUAUUAGCCAGUCCAACAUCAAUGGAACACUAGUGCCACCUGCUGCCCUCAUCUCCAUCCUUCAGAAAGGUCUGCAGUAUGUGGAAGCUGAGAUCAGCAUCA